AUCUUUUUGCUUACUUUGUCCUUAAAACCUGAAAACACAUGAAAAUAGCUAAAAAGACUAACUUAACUAAGAAAACACAACAUAAAUGCAUAAGAACUAGCUAACUAAGGCGCAUAAAUAUGCUCCUAUCAAUGAGAAUUUUGGAUCCAAAAGUGGCUCCAAUAAAAUAAAUUUAGGCUCGUAUAUGGAAUAUAUUAACAUGUGAAAAAAAACAUGCAUACCUAAUGAAAUAAUGAGGAGAAUGGCCUUUGACCAUUUGUUGUCUUUGAUACAACUCUUUUCAUCCAUGCCUUCAUGUUUGUAUCCUUUGGGACAUUAACAUGAAUAAUUUCCAGGUGAAUUUAUGCAUGUUUCAAUAUCUGGAAAGUAAGGAACCAUGGACGAACAUCAGUUAAAUUCCCAAUUUUUAAAUUGGUUGAAUUGGGAAAGAACCAUUACAUUCACAUGGUGUUGAGAGAAAUAACCUUGAAAAUAAAGCACUACACAUAAAAGCAGCAAGAAACUAAUGUAAUUUUCAGCUUCUAACUCAUCCAUUUGAUCAACAUAUUGAUGGAACAAAUGUAAUUUUCAGUUUCUAACUCAUUCAUUUGAUCAAUAUCAUCCAAGUCAGAAAAGAUAGAACAUAAAAAUGAUUAGGAUAUAUAAAUAGGGGCUUCAUCUGAGUCAAUAUCAGCCACCAUUCCCCAAAAAAUAGAUGUCAGGACUCUGCCAAGCAUCUAUGAAGCCCCUUUGAAGUAAGACACUUGUUAAGGAACAAAAUGGUGAAGAAUACGAAAGGUAAGUAGUGACAAUUGAUAGGAGCAUUUUCAUGCGACUUAGUUGGCUUGUUCUUGUGCUUUUACAUUAUUAUUUCAUAGUUAUUUUAGUAUUUAAAGUCAUUUUCGUAUGUUUUCAGAUUCUAAGGACAAAGUGUGCAAGAAGAUGCAUUAUGGAGCCUUUUGGAGCAGUUUUGGGCAUGAAUUGAAUAACUUAUGCUUGGAGCAAUAUAGAUGGACGAAAUUGAAGACCAAAGCAUGCAAGGAAAUCACAUUCCCUUAAUUUUCUAGUUAUUGCCGCAUCCUCCUUGCACUUUCCCUUAGUUUUCUGAUUUGUUUCCCUAAAUUGUAGAAGCUUUAGACUUAAUUUCUGUUUACCUAGUUAACCUAGGGUUUUAUUUCCUUUAUCUCUUUAAAUAAACCCCUUGUUGCAGCAAACACAUGGCAAAGAAAAGAAUGUUGCAGCACACACAUGGGAGCACACGACAUGGGCAGAAAAAUGGUGUGUUUUGUGGUUGAAAUGAUGAAGCAUGUGUGUGUAAAUGUAAAGGGGAAAACAUGGCAGAAAAUGGGUGUGUUUUGUGGUUGAAAUGAUGCAAAGAACAUGUGUGUGUGCAAGUAUAACAGCUAGGAUGAUAACAUGGCAGCAAACCCACAUGCAAAGUGGAAGAAAAGCACACGGCAUGGGCAGA
rnacentral:lncRNA from 1 species